CUUGGUUCUUUAUUUAUUUUUGUCCUGAAGCACUAUAUAGAAUAGAAACAGGACUACAUGCCAAUUUAUUAGCACAUUAUUUAAGUUUAAUUUAAGUCAUAAAAUACAGAAAUUUCUUACGAGAAAUUUCGGUGAUAGAAUUAAAAAUUCUUAAUUGAUAAAUUGACUAUAUAAU
rnacentral:ncRNA from 1 species